ACUUUUGAACCAGCCAUGCCGCGUGCAGGAAGACGGCCCUAUGGGUUGUAAACUGCUUUUAUUUGGGAAUAAACUCCUCUACGUGUAGAGGCCUGAAGGUACCAAAUGAAUAAGCACCGGCUAACUCCGUGCCAGCAGCCGCGGUAAUACGGAGGGUGCAAGCGCUAUCCGGAAUCAUUGGGUUUAAAGGGUCCGCAGGCGGACUAAUAAGUCAGUGGUGAAAGCCCAUAGCUUAACUAUGGAACUGCCAUUGAAACUGUUAGUCUUGAAUUCGGUCGAAGUGGGCGGAAUGUGUCAUGUAGCGGUGAAAUGCAUAGAUAUGACACAGAACACCGAUAGCGAAGGCAGCUCACUAGGCCUGAAUUGACGCUCAGGGACGAAAGCGUGGGGAGCGAACAGGAUUAGAUACCCUGGUAGUCCACGCCGUAAACUAUGAUUACUCGUUUUCAGCGAUAUACUGUUGGAGACUAAGCGAAAGUAUAAGUAUCCACUGGGGAGAC
rnacentral:rRNA from 1 species